CAAUAAGUAGGAGGCGUGAGAGAGGAGAGGGUCGUUGAGAGGUCACGCAGUGCUACCGACAGUGAUGGCAGCGGUGGCAGCUUUCGCGAAAUUACUCAACUCCCUGGUAUACGUUUAACUCGGCGGCUGUUACGAGAGCAAAAGCAGAAUGCAAAAAGGAAACUCUGGAAGGUGUGUACCGCCUGCUGCUACAUAGAAUCGAUGAUAGGUGGAGCGUGGAAUGGGGCUCUGCAGCUUGGUAAAACAAUAGCGAGCCUCAAUGUUCUAUGAACUUCAACUGAGGAAAUUGUACUCCAAGUAAGAAAAUCAGUCUCCAGUUUAUGAGAAGAUUUCAUAAGAACGACCCAAAUAACGAACUUGACUCCAACACGACGACGUGGGAAGGAGAGAUGAGGGAACAGAGAAGAACGUGCGGCCGGCGAUCCCACCCUCCCUUGAUCUUCGGUGAAAGGUGCUUCUCGCGAAUAUCUCGAGGACGCUCGACCGUUUUAUCACGAGUUCCCUUUCUAUUGAAUCGCGCCGUCGUGCGGUGAGAGGAAAGCUCAUUCAAUCGAUCCGCCUUGCGCGCUUUUACCACCAUUCGACGGAAAUUGGUACGACACCUAGAUGAAGGAUCCAGAGGAACUCUCUUUCUCUCUCUAUCUAUCUAUCUUAUCCGGUAACGUCCCGCUUGGAAUUUGAUUAAAUUCCGAUUGAUGUCACUUUCUAAAUACGCCCCUUGAAUUAGAAUUACGUAACUACGUUUAUUCUCUCGUUCAUUAAAAAGCGAUCAUUCGGGAAUAUUCUAAGUUGAGUAUUGUUCUUUCAUAAUCGUAGAUAAUUUGUGACUUAUUCGUCUCCACGAAUAGUAAUUGCUUAAUUAUUGUAUGAAGAAAAAAAGUUGUAUAAUAAAGAAAAAUAUUGAAUACAUAAU